AGAGAGCCACUUUGCAUCAGCAGCACCAUGCUCCAGUGCUCUGGGAGAGUUUAUAGUCCUGAGAGUUGAACACUGGAUGACUGACAGCUGUCCUUCAUGACAACAGAAGCCACAGAAAUCCUCCUCAUCAAAAACAUGACUUUGAUCUCCGUCCUCAUCUGGACUCUCCUCUGCUGCUGCUUCACAGAGUCCAGAGGUCAGGUCACAGUGACUCAGCCUGGAGCAGUGAGCUCUGCUGUGGGAGGCUCCGUCACCAUCACAUGUAGGACCAGUCAUGACAUUUACUCAGACAAUUUAGCCUGGUACCAACAGAGAGAUGGAGAAACUCCUAAGCUGCUCAUUCAUGAUACUAGCACUCGAGCAUCAGGGAUUCCAGGUCGUUUUACAGGCAGUGGAUCAAAGUCUGACUUCACUCUGACCAUCAGUGGAGUCCAGACUGAAGAUGCAGCAGUUUACUACUGUGAGGGUGAAUUCAGUAUCAACAGUCAGUGGUUGUUCACACAGUGAAAAAGCGUCGUACAAAAACCUCCCUCAGUCAGACUGAACAGAAACUGAACUGACUGCUGCAGCUGGAAGCUACUGCAGAGACUGAUACACUUCACUGAGGACACACACACACACACACACACACACACACACACACACACACACACACACACACACAGGCCAGAAAGACACAGACACAUACACAUGCAUUAAUGGAGAGAUGUCACAUCGAGGGGGUUGCCCAUGGACAGGCAUUCCUAGCAGUUAAAGGUUUCGUGCCUUGCUCACAACAGCUCCUCAGCUCCCAGUCCCCACUCCUUGUUCAGUCCGUAGAGGACUUCAACUGGGGACCCUCUGGCUCCCAAGCCAAGUCCCCACAGACUGAGUGACUGCCUCUCAUGUAAAUGUACACUUAUGUUAUGAAAAAAAGCUUUAUAUCACCUAGAAUCAAAAAAAUAUAAAAGACAUAAAUGACCCACUUAAUGUAACCACAUUCAUACAAGUGUAUGUGUGUUACUUAAGUGUUAAAUCGGCUGGCAGACAGCAAGAGACAGAGACUGUCCUCUCAUCUCUUUCAUGUUAUUGGUGACACAGGCAUGCAUCAACGUGUUGUUUGCCUGCCAGAAAAGCUCUGUCAAAAUUGACAUUUUAUCCUCUUAUAAGACAUACUUUUAUGUUGCAUUUUUAGACAUUUGUCGAUUUUACCUGCUUAUUUGACCCGGUUAAACAAUUUCAGUCAUCGGACGUCUAGAUUUGGUAUAAAUAGAGUGACUGAAACAUUUCUAUGCCUGGCGGAAACCAUCAUCACUGAAAACUUGUCCAAUUCCCAUUCAUCUCAGUGGGCCAAGUAAGUUUCACUCUUUGGAGGACCUAAAUCUGCUCUGAUCUCUGCCCAAGCCAGGAUA